AUGAUUCACACAUACAUAAUUGAUUUUUUGAACUCAAACACACCAAAUGGCUUGCCCCCGCAUGUUUUGAAAUUAAAGGUCAACUGUCCGGUCAUUCUGCUCCGGAACCUCGACCCUCAUAAUGGUCUAUGCAAUGGGACACGGCUUAUGAUCAGAGCCUUUCAGGAUAAUGCAAUCGAUGCGGAGAUUGUUGGUGGUCAGCAUGCUGGAAAGAGGGUGUUUAUACCUAGGAUCCCUAUGUCACCCUCAGAGGACAUCUCACUUCCUUUCAAACUUAAGAGAAAACAGUUCCCCAUCCGCCUGAGUUUUGCCAUGACAAUUAACAAGGCACAGGGUCAGACCAUCCCAAAUGUCGGCAUUUACCUUCCCGAGCCAGUAUUCUCACAUGGGCAGCUAUAUGUUGCAUUGUCAAGAGGAGUGUCGAGAGAUACGACACGGAUAUUGGCCAAGCCAAACAAGGAUGUUGAUAAAUCCGGGAAAAGCACCAAGAACAUUGUCUACAGAGAUGUUUUGGAGAGAUGA
rnacentral:rRNA from 1 species